AAAGCCACCCUCACCUUGAGGCAUAAGUGGACAGGGGAGAUGCCUGGGGGCCCAGACUUGUUCCUUUGCCUGCCCACCCAGUUCUCUACAGAUGUCCCCUCAAGCUUCAGUGGCUGCUGAACACUGGGCCACCAGCAAUCAAGGACACAGAUCGCUUUACAGUUACUGAGAAGCGACAGGGCAGGAGAAUGGUUUGGUUUACAACAACUCCGUGAGACUGUUGUAUACAUACAGGGCUCAUGGAAGCCUGCCCUUCAAAGCAUCUCUGCAGUGCAGCAGGAUCGGCGGAUCACCCAGGCCCUUUUCCUGCAUCCAAGGCCCUUUUGCGUACUGAUUCUGAGAUUUUGCUACAGUGAGCCCUCAGCCUGCUGACCAGAUUCUUUCUUACUUCCCAGCUCCAUUCACCAGCAAUGCAGAGACCUGCUGAGAUGCGGCCAGGAAACUCUUCUCUCGUGAUGUCACACAAUUAUAGAGCAACUGGAGAAUGCUGCUUUUAAUAAAGUUUUGGAG